rnacentral:lncRNA from 1 species
ACCUGAGCCACAGCAUUGACAAUGCCGGAUCCUUAACCUGCUAAGCCACCAGGGAAUUCCCCUAGCUGUGUUUUUCUGUUUGUUUCCAUAGCUGAGAUAAUAUCUGGCACAUGUUUUGCACUCUGGUUUCUCAUUUGCUGCUCCACUUUGAUAUCGUAAAGAAUUUUCCAGCUCUUUUGGUAAAAACCAUGAUUAAUUGAAUAAUAGUCCAUUUGAGUGGAUAUUAAAUAAUUUAACAUUUUCCCAAUAGUUGAUUAUUUCAGUUGUUUCAACUUUUUGUUUCGUUAUAAACAAGGCCACGCUACCUCUCUUUGUACAUAAAUCUUUGUCAAUUUGAGAUUAUCUUCUUCUGAUGGAGCGCCAUAAGUGUAAUUACUGGGUCAAAGGCUGUAGUAAUUUACAUUCCCAUCAGCAGUAUUGUCGGUUUCAUCACACCCUAGCCAGCAUGGGGUAUUCUCAUUAAAAAUGUUUUUCCCCACUCUGUGAUGGGCAAAAAGUGUUAUCUCACUGUUGUUUUAAUUUACUUUUUAAAAAAUAAUUAGAUAUUGGAAAAUAGGUUCAACCUAUGAGCCAUAAAAAAUUAAUCUUCUGUUAAUUGAGUGUUCCUCUCCCUUCACAUUUAUCCAGCAGUGAUGUGAAUUUUUAAAACUCAAUUUGUAUGGAUUCUUAAACACCAAGGAUAUUAACCCUCGGCGUGACAUCUUAAGAAGUUAUUUUCCAUGUUCGUACAGUUAAGUCUAAAAUUUCAAAUCUGUUUUCUCUUUCUUUUCUUUGUGAAUGCUUCCCUUGCUUUUAGGCUUAGAAGGCAGCACUUAUCCAGAGUUUUGGAGGAAUAUUCACUUCGACUUUAUUCAAGUGUGAUUUUUAAUUGAAAUCUUUAAUCCAUCUGAACUUGAUGUUGGUGUAUAACAUGAAGUGAAGAAUAAGGUGGAUUUGCUUUUCCAAAUGGCUUAGCGAUCAUUCUAGCACCUUUUAUUGACUAAGCCCUUCUUUCCUCACUGCUCCAGGGUGCCCUUUUUUUAACUGUCUCAUGUAUGGUAAUAGUUUUCUCUUACACUGUGUACGAGUGGAAUUCCUUUUGCCUCACUCUCCAUGCCACUGCCCAAGCUUCCCGGGUGCACUGUUCUCAGGGGUCCUGGGUGACAUUAUAUGGGGGGAGUGUGGAUGAAAUGGUUGGCAUUCUUGCCACACUCCCCUUUGGAAAGCUCUCCUAACUCCUCAUUCACUCUCCCAUGUAGAACUCAGCCGGUGCAUGUGUGUGCACACGUUUUUCUGAUCGUCCUAUUGAUCGCAAACUCUUUUUGGCUAAAAGGUUUUUUUGUUUGGUUGGUUGGUUUUGGUCUUUUUAGGGCUGCAUAUGGACGUUCCCAGGCUAGGGGAUGAAUUGGCGCUGCAGCUGCCGGCCUAUGCCACAGCCACGGCAACACGGAUCUGAGCCACAUCUGCGACCUACACCACAGCUCAUGGAAAUGCAGAAUUCUUAAUCCACUGAAUGAGGCCAGGGAUUGAGCCUGUGUCUUCAUGGAUACUAGUCAAGUUUGUUUCCAAAGAGCCACCAUGGGAACUACAGCCUCCCCUCUUUUAGGGCUGCGCCUACAGCAUAUGGAUAUUCCCAGGCCAGGGGUCGAAUCAGAGCUGCAGCUGCCAGUCUAUACCACAGCCACAGCAACAUGAGAUCUGAGCUGCAUCUGCGACCUACACCACAGCUCACAACAAUGCUGUGUGGGAUCCUUAAUGCACUGAUGGAGGCCAGGGACCGAACCCGCAUCCUCAUGGACACCGGUGGGUUUGUAACCUGUCGAGCCAUAACAGGAACUCCCUUGGCUAUAAGAUUUUGAUCCUCUAUUGCAGAUUUUUAUUUCAAGUCAGACAAUAAUGUAUUCAGCAGCCCCCAUGGGGAUGGUUCUUGAAUGAAUGCGACAGAGUCCUGGCCGUGGUCAGGAUGAAAUUCCUGCUAAUGUGAGACACGGCUAAGUCACAAAAGGUCACAUACAAAUUCCCUGAAAGAAAGUGGGACAUAGGUUACUCGGUAAAAGGCCAAGUAUUGACUUGUCUCCCGGGAGCUGGAUGCACAUCAUUGCCUGGGAUGGAUCCCUCUCGUCCACGUGACCUCAUUUCCUUGGAGGCUUCAUUUAGCUAAUUGCCCCUGCUCUGCAAUGGCUCACAUCCCACAGGUGCCUUCUGGGAAAAUUAACAUGCCCAGAUAUUGCUCUUCUAUUAAAACCAAAGCCAAAUGAAAUACGCUGCACCUUUAUCCACCCUCCUCCCCUCACAGGUAGACCCUAGAUCAACUUCACCUUUAUCUCCCCCCAAAACUGGCAAAGGGCCCCAAAGGCCAAGUCCAGAGUAGCCAAUCAGGCUUCACCUCCCCUCCUGCCCAUGGCCCCUCUGCAGCCACCUCUGUCCUUUGGGAAACUCUCCUCCCUGGGCUUCUGGAGACUCUCUCCCAUCUUGCUUGCCCCUCUGUCCCUCCUUCUCAGUCUCUUUUUUCCGUAUCUAGCCCCCUUAAUGCUGGUGCCCGUCUGGGCUUAGCCUCUGUCCUCUGUUCAUUCCCUCCAUACUCUACUCCUUAAUUUCACCCACCGCCCGAGUUGCUUCAAUACCCCCUACACCCCCACCUGUGCUUGAACCCCCCCCAAUCCUCAUCUUCAGCCUGAGUUCUUCAAAAAUGCCCCUCAUACUCAACACAUUCGGCAGACAGCUAGCUCUGUCCAAAAUCUGGGGCUGCACCAGAGUCCCACAUCUCAUGGAAAGAUACCACCAAACAGACAUGGGGGGGGGUCUUUCUCCCCUGCUCACUCGCACCCAUCCCCCACCCACAGGCCAGCCUCAUGCCUUGGAGUCUUGACCUCCCAGUGGCUCCUGAAUCCUCCUGGCUCUCUUCACCUCCACUGCCAACAAGCUAGUCCAAGCCCCCAGCCCUAGUAUGGAUUGCCCUUGGAGAGUUGCCAUCUCCCUGCAGCCCUGCCUGCACCCCUGCAUCCUUUUUUCCUCACUAGAAGCCAGAGGGAUACCUUCAACCUGCAAGUAGGAACAUGUCAUCGCUAUUUUAUUUUUUAUUUUAUUUUAUUUUAAUCUUACUUUUAGGGCUGCACCUGUGGCAUACGGAAGUUCCCUGGCUAGGGAUGGAAUUAAAGCUGCAGCUGCCAGCCUACGCCACAGCCACAGCCACAUCCGCCAGAUCCGAGCCGCAUCUAUGACCUACACCGCAGCUCACGGCCAUGCCGGAUCCUUAACCCACUGAGCGAGGCCAGGGAUCGAACCUGCAUCUUUAUGGAUACUAGUCGGGUUUGUUACAGCUGCGCCACCACAGGAACUCCCUCAUUGCUGUUUUAAGGUUCCUCCAAAGAACCCCCUCCGGACUCCUGCUGUCGCCAUCAUUCUUAGGAUCAAGCCCCAAACCUCCCCAGCCUGCUGAAUCCUCCAGCUGACUUCUCACCCUGCUCCCCUAUCACGGGCCAGCCUUCCUUCCCUUCCCCUCCCGCUGCAGGGCCUUCAUUUGGAAUGCUCAUUCGGAUUCCUCUGAGUGGUGGAUGACGGCUCAUCUUUCAGAUUUCUUCUGGGAAACAUCAGCAGACCCCCUCCUCCCUGACUUCCGGCCCCGCUGCUGCUCUGGGCACCAUACACCUCUCCUUCCAUCAGCUCGUGGGGGCAGGCUGUGUCUGUCCUGUUCACAGGUCCCCCUGCGAGAGCUAGCCAGCACGUAGGAAGGAGAGGCUCAAGAACUCUUUGUUGACUUGAGUAGAAAACUUUCUCCCGACUCCACACUUCACUUUCUUAGCUUCCAAACAAUCCUUCUUGAAACUUUUCUAAUUAUCUAAACUUAAUUAUCUAAACUUCGGCAAAAGGGGAGUCUUUGCUGACUAUCUAUUAUCCUCAGGCGCUGCAGUCAGGGUUCUGCUCCAUCUCACCCCUGAAACCGCUCUUGCUGAGGGCUCCGAUAACCUCCUAAUUACCAACUUCAGUGGGUGUUUUUCCAUCCCUGUCUUAUUGGAAUUCUCUGCAGGGUCUGAUAUUGUUGAUCACCCUCGCCUUCUUGAAACGCUCGGCUCUCUUGGUUUCCAUGACAACACCCUCUCCUUGUUUUUAACCCGUCUCUAUGACGCCUUUUCCUUCCCAGUCUCAUUAAUCAGAGCCUCUGACUCAACCACCCUUGAAAUGUUAGGGUCCUGAAGACUCGAUAUUGUGAAGAUGUCAAUUUUCUCCAAAUUAAUGUACAAAUUCAAUGCCUUCCUAAUCAAAAUCCCACCAGGGUUUUCUAAUGGGAACUUAAUAAGCUGAUUCUAAAGGUCAUAAGGGAGAGGAGAUGGGCAAGAAUAGCCAAGAUAAUUUGGAGAAAGAAAAACAAGUGGUGGGAGCACAGUAGGAGGAAAAGGAUUGAAUUUGUCCUACUAGGUCACAAAGGAUAAAGCAGAAAUGAUGAAACAGCAUGGCCAGGAAGAGACACACUGAUCUAUAGAACAGACGAGGUCUUACCAUAUUCUAGGAUGGGCAUUUCAAACGAGGGGCAUGGGCUGCCAGGAGCACAAAGCUCCCCACUCCUCGGCUCUUUGAAAGGAACCCACCCAGGCAGCCUCCCUCACGCUGGACCAUUUUCUUUCCUUUUCUGAUCGUCCCUCCUCCUCACCUUCAAAACUUGCCUGAUGCAGGUACCAUCCCCUUCAGACCUGAUGCUCUCUUUUUUCCCUUGAUUUUUGUUUUCUUUUUUCUUGGUUCGCCUAGUAUAAAAGUAGUAUAUGAUCUUGGAUGGCGAGUAUAUUGUAUAUUGUGUUCAAUACACCAUUCUCGUUCUCAUCCGUCUUUUUGAAAACUAUAUUCAUAAAACAGUGACACCUGAUCAUGGCUGAAAAUGUGUGCAGUAACGAAAGCAUGAAGAAGAACAGAAAAAUCUGGAAUCCCAGCACCCACAGUUGGGUUCUGUGCAAAUGCAUCUGAAGAGCAAUCUCCUCUUGGUCUUUUUAUGCAUUUGUUUACAAUAAAUACUUUUAUUAUAU